rnacentral:lncRNA from 1 species
GAUUUAAUGAGUAUGGGGGAGGUAAAUGGUAGAAAUAGCAAUGUGAACUACAUUUCCCAUGACCCCCUUCAGUCAACAUGUUUGAAUACUCACAUCAGAGCAGCAUUUUCUUGUUCAAUGUGUUGUUGCUUCUCCUCCAUGGAUUUGACACAAGCUUCAAAAACAUCAACAAACAACUUUAAGAAGUUACCUGAGCAGUUUCCCAACCACCAUUAUGCUACAGCAUUGGCGCCACAGUCUGUGAGGCAUGUUACUUCAAGCAGCGUGAGCUUGUUAUCCCUAAAAGACAGAGGAAAAGAGCCCGACCGAGGAGAACCAGGGGUGUGGAGGAGACAAGACAAGGAAUUUCAAUGAAACCGACUGCUGCAGCGGCCAAUCAGCUGCGGAGUUCUGCGGCCCAGAGGGCUCAUGGGAGGAGAGCUGUCUGCUUGUUUUCACCCUUCGCUAAUAUAGAACCAAGACUGAUCCAGCAUCACUCCCUGUUCCUCUUAUGUACCCCAGGCGGUGGAUGCGGGCAUCUGGCAAGCGCUACAGGAGACGGGCUGUAUGGAGUGUUGAAUGGCGACGUUCUGCCGUCUCGAUUUUACCUGCACUCAGCCGCUGUUACUUAAAAGACGCACUCUUGCUACAGUGCUUUUAAUACCAGUUUCCUCUGUGCACCAUCUAUAUGAGGAACGCAUUAGAUUGCUUUGCUUUGCUCACUGCAAUGGGAGAUACGCUAUCAAUUAUUCAUUGAUAAUGCGUUCAUUUACUCGGAUUUUGCUUAACCAGCCAUAGAGAGAGGCAGAGGAACAUGGCAAUAUUGCUAAAGAGCUAUUUUUACAACCCUCUGAUAGCGAUGGCUUUGCGCUGCGGGAGCUUGACGUGUCUUGCGCUCCUUGUUAGUUGUUGUAUUAAGCAAUUUGUGAGUUCAACUAGAAAUGUA